CUCUCUCUCUCUCUCUGUAUUUACCUCCAUAAUAAAACACACAUAAUACACACGCACAAGGUGCAAACUCGUUUAAUUAUUAAAACUGUAAUGCUUAUGAGAUAUUAGUCACUCGUUUAUAAAACAUAAAUGUAUUUAAGACUUUUUUUGUCAGAAGGGCCAACAACAUUUGGCCAUUACAGUAACUUCUUCGUGCCAUCACAUUCCAUUUUCUUUUCUUGCCAAGGCGCAGAUAAAACUUUCCCCAGGCAUCACAGCCUUCUAAAAGUCCACCAAGCCGUAUAGUGAUGUGCAAGGCAUUUCUUUUUACUCAAACAAUUUGGAGAGAUGGGUUGUGUUCAGGCCAAUUUCAAAAACAUCUUCCUAAUUAAAAGCAAUGCAAUCGACCCGGGGACAAGGUGUAUGAAGUUUGUCUGAUGUGCAUCUGUCAUCGAUCAGAAGGGAUUAAUGGAAGGAACGGUGUCUUAUCAGCUGCUGUGAGCAUCACACAACCCUCGGCUUCCGCGAAAAACAGCGGCAGGAUCCGUCGCGCAUUUACAGGCAUGAAAUUACUAUCAAAUCCCCAAAGCGCUCGGCAAACGAAGGGUGCGCGCUGCGCGGGUGAGAGAUUGUGUUGGAUCUGAUGUGGACUAAAACAAAUGAAAGGAAGAUGCAUGCAACAGAUAUCUGACUAACCCCACGCCAGAUACGCCUGCAUACGUUUAUUGUCGCUAUUGAAAGAAACAAGCCGCUGUGGUUCAGAAGUCAAACGGAGGUCAUCCUUUAUAUCCCCCCGCAGCAAUCUCCGACCAGGGGCCAGUCAACAGUGAACCCUGCCUUCUCCACCACUGACAACUGCAUGAAAGUUACAAGACUAUCGGGAAUGGGUAAAACGCACUGGGAUUACACAGUAGGCUAUUAACUUUUUUCUUGAUCUUGCCACUGCUUAAUGCUUUGACAACAUGUUUAAAGUGCUUAUCAAAUAUAACUCAAUGUUUAAAUACUUAAAUGUUCGUUUAUUAACUUUGAAUUGACUUAAAUAAGCGCGCAAUGAAGACGCUGUAGCCAUUUGGAUAGUUUAAAAUAAAAACAGAAAAUCAUUAUUUACUAAUCCAGAAAAAAAACGGUUAAAAUUGAUCUAGCACAGAUGUACGCAUCAAAGAAUUUACAUAGUCUAUAAUAUAACACUGCAAAACUAAACAUGAAACUUUUGUAAAUUUAGUUAAAUUAUACAGAUUACGUGAAAUAAUCACUGUGAUAAAUCUUUGUUUAAUAACAAUUAGCCUACAUUAAACAACGUCUUUAAAUAUCCAUUUAAGUCUAUACGUUAUGCUACAGGUAAAGUUACAAUACUUUUUUAUUUACUGACUAUUUACUAGUUGUUUAUUAGUUAAAACGUAACAAAGAAAGCGCUAUAUUGACAAUAAACAGUUUGUUUUUCUACUAAUCAUUUUUGUACAAUAUAGGACAAAUUAAAACUGCUUACAACGACAUCGUAGACAAACAUGUACGUUGUGAUUUCACAUUUUGAUUUUAUUUUGUUUUGCAUUAAUUUCCUUAUUUAAUUUAUUUUUUUCUUAUUUGCAACAAAUAUUAUUAAUCCCAAUACAGGUUUAUUGCAUUUGCAAAAAUAUAAACUACUACACAAGGUUCAAAAGAAAAACAUAUUUUCAUAUGCAAGGCUUUCAGUGAUCUGUAUGCUUGGUCAUGUGCGCCUUCUACUGGAUACACACAGAAUCUACUUUCUUUCUUUAUUAAUGAGAGCCGUAACGACUUCUCCGAAAUAUACAAAACAGACGAAUUACAGCAACAGUAUCUCUGUCCUAUAAAAUAACUUUAAAACAUUCAACAACACUAUUUAAGUAUAUGCCAGUGCGUAUUGUUUAUUUAUUUAUAAACAUUUAAGACUGCUUAAUUGUAUUUUGGUUGAAGUCAUCAUCGUCAAAAGAUCAACAUUUUGUCAUUUCUAGGUUUUACUUUGCUAAAAGAAUGAUUGAAAAUGCCGGCUUUAAUUUUUCUGCUUUCUCUUAAAUUCAGAAUAUACAUAUUUAAAUAAAUUCUAGCAGUUUUUAAAAGCUUUUGUAAAAACUCAAUCAAACUUAAUCA